AGAUUGAACGCUGGCGGCAUGCCUAACACAUGCAAGUCGAACGGGAGUAGCAAUACUCUAGUGGCGGACGGGUGAGGAAUACGUAGGAAUUUGCCCUUAAGUGGGGGAUAACCCGGGGAAACCCGGAUUAAUACCGCAUGACCUCGAAAGAGCAAAGUGGGGGAUCGCAAGACCUCACGCUUUUGGAGAAGCCUACGUCGGAUUAGCUAGUUGGUGAGGUAAUGGCUCACCAAGGCGACGAUCCGUAACUGGUCUGAGAGGAUGAUCAGUCACGACCGGAACUGAGACACGGUCCGACUCCUACGGGAGCAGCAGGUGGGAA
rnacentral:rRNA from 1 species